GGCGCCGAGCCGGCUGCCGCUGCCAAGCUUCCGGCUCCGGAGGGCAGGGGGCGGGUCUGGAGGGCGCUUCCGGCCGACGGCCGUCGGGAUGCGCCUCGCUGUCGUCGAGGAGGUACCGACAGCUGGCGGUGGGUCCUGCGUCCCGGCGGAAAGCUCCGAGGAGCCCUGUAGUAGACUUGUGGCUCGGGUGGAGCCGGCGGAAAACCCGGAGAAGCUGGAGACAGCCGUGGCUGAGGUGGAGCCGGCGUCGCUGCCCUGGAGCGUGGGCGAGUUUCCUCUUAGCCAGAGCUUCAGGGAUUGACUCGAAGACUCCUCCGCUUUUUUAGUUGUUUUGGGUGUGAAUAAAGCCCAGACUAAACCUUAGCCUCCCAGGCUGCCAAAACAGGACAGCUGUGAUACUGUGUUUUUCAAAGUAUAGUGCCUGAACCAUCAGCAUGAAAUCUGCCUGAGACGGUUGUUGAAAAUUCACAUCGCUGGGCCUUGCCGCAGGGUGCCUCUUGAAGCUCAAGUGGAAGCCAACAGAAGAGGGGUCCAUGUGUACAGAUAGGGCUGGAGUGAUCCAUGUUCCAACAGCAGGCCAUUUAACCUCACUUGAAUAUGGAGGCUGCAUAGGUCACAAGUCUGAAGACUACAAGCUACCUUUGCUUAAAAGGAACCACACCAUCACUGAUAGCUAACUGCUAGACUGUUCUCCAGCAUAUCAGGGCUACACUGAAUUGCUUGAGUUGCGCUUCAAUUAAUGUAGAGAACUUCACCGAACCACACAUAACCAUUGAAGUAACCUGCUGUUUACAGUCUAUCAUGCUCUGCCAAGGGAGUUAUUUUAUAGUGACAAAACUUCUCUUCUGGUGCCCUGACACAUCCUAGGACUUUGAUGUUGGUAAUUCUUUCCCCCCAGCAAAUGUUGGUUCUAAAUCCACAGAACUACUUGAGAAACCAGAUGCAAAAUUAUGCUCUCCCAGGAGGUAUGCAGAACAAUAUUUAUCUCAUAUUGCGGAUGUGGCAAUCAAGACAGAGAGGCUAAAUGCUUUACCUAAAGUCGUCCAACAAAUAUUUGGUAGAACCAGGGCUAGAAUGCAAUAAAUGGAAAUAGAGUUAUUUCGGUGUUUCUUUUCCUGAUACUUGCCUUAUUCAUGACAAAUGUAUAAUGGCUUCAGAAGGUGUCACUUGUUGCUAGGGAUAAACUUUACCUGUAAUACUGUAGCACUUACUAUUAGUUAACGACCCACUAUUUAUUCUCUUUUUGUCUUUGGAAUCUUUGGAAUGUGUAAGUAUUUGCCUCCCAGGAAGCUCUCUUUAUCCUCUCCUCAGGAGAAAAUCCUGAUUUGGUCUAAACCAAUCUUGGUAACUAUCUUUCUUGCCAGUUUUGUUUUAGGAAUGGGCGUGCAACUCAGUUCUAGCCAAUGAGAUAUGAGGAGCAGUCUACUGGGGAGUUUCUGGGAAAGUUUGUUUUUCUUGUCCUAAGAAAUAAACAAAUAAUGGGGUAAUAAAGCUUCAACACUUUGUGAGAUCACUGGAUUGGAGAUCCUGUUGAGUCAAAGGAAUAUUGAAUUUGACACAGUAAAAUAGCCUGUAAGGAAAGGAAAUGAUAUUCAGUAAAUGAAAUGCUGAAAAUUGAUAUUUUGAAGGUGGUGCAGUAGUUGUUACUGAUUAAAUGAAACAGUUGAGAUUAAGAAAGUUUAGCCAGGACAAGUUAUAUAGCACAAAUCAUUUGAGAUAAGGAGGUUAAAAAAAACCCUGAGAGGCCGGGAAGUCCUGGUUCCAAACUUCUGCUCUUGCUGGACUUGAGCCCCACUAGCUUCUUGUCUUCCACUAAUCUAUGCACCCCUCCUUUCCCACUGCUAAAAAGCCAAGCUCACUCAACAACUUUAAUUUUAUUCAAAUAAAUUAUUUUAUACA